rnacentral:tRNA from 1 species
GGGGCUGUAGCUCAAUCACGGUAGAGCACUGGAGUUCGGCUGGGGCCACUCCAGUUGUGCGGGUUCGAAUCCCGUCAGCCCACG